CGUUGUCCUGCCGAAAAGAACGUUACUUCGUACAAGGCUUGCAGAGUGCCAUUCCAGCAUGCUGUCUCCGGGUCUUUCCAUCAAGCCUUUCCACUCCAGCGACAGCCACUGCAGUACUGGACCUGCUUGGGGAGUGACCUAAUACUUCUG